CCUACGGGGUGCAGCAGUCGAGAAUCAUUCACAAUGGGGGAAACCCUGAUGGUGCGACGCCGCGUGGGGGAAUGAAGGUCUUCGGAUUGUAAACCCCUGUCAUGUGGGAGCAAAUUAAAAAGAUAGUACCACAAGAGGAAGAGACGGCUAACUCUGUGCCAGCAGCCGCGGUAAUACAGAGGUCUCAAGCGUUGUUCGGAAGCACUGGGCGUAAGGCGUGCGUAGGCUGUUUCGUAAGUCGUGAGUGAAAGGCGCGGGCUCAACCCGCGGACGGCACAUGAUACUGCGAGACUAGAGUAAUGGAGGGGGAACCGGAAUUCUCGGUGUAGCAGUGAAAUGCGUAGAUAUCGAGAGGAACACUCGUGGCGAAGGCGGGUUCCUGGACAUUAACUGACGCUGAGGCACGAAGGCCAGGGGAGCGAAAGGGAUUAGAUACCCCAGUAGUC
rnacentral:rRNA from 1 species